UGACUUACCUGGCAGGGGAGAUACCAUGAACACUAAGGUGGUUCUCCCAGGGCGAGGCUCAUCCAUUGCACUCCAGGUGUGCUGACCCCUGCGAUUUCCCCAAAUGCAGGAAACUCUAUCUAUCUAUCUAUC
rnacentral:snRNA from 1 species